rnacentral:lncRNA from 1 species
CUUACUGUUUCUGUUAUUUCCAUGUAUUCAUGAGCAUUUGCACUCAUAACAUUUUUUUUAUGAUUUCUAAGCUAUUAAAAUCUUAUAUGUGUACACAAUCACCAUCAAAGUAAAGCACGAGUUUUAAUCAUGUCACACCUUACUUUAAAAAAAAGAAAUGGUUAUAACCUUGUCUAGGUAAAUGUGGUCCAAAAUACACCUUGUGCUUGUGCAAUAAUUAACAAGAUGAAACCUAUGCAUAAAAUCAUGUAACUGAAAGCUUGUAUAUGCAUCUCGUGUAGAAGCUAACCUCAUCGACGGAAUGUAUGAGCUCAGCCUGGAACACGAAGAAGGACACCCUCCUGCUGAGCUGAACGUAAUCAAGGCCCGAACCAAGUUUGGAAGAGCCCAAGGCUGAGUUAGGGAAAGAAGGCAAGCCCCGGAGCAUAACCCAGUUUUCUAAAAUUAUGUACUACUUAUGCUAGUUAUGUUUGUGCAUUAAGUUCAUAGGAGUUGCUUGAAACCCUAGUUGCAUGGUCCUAAUUACCUAUGUGUUGAAUACUAGUAUGUUAAGAUGAGUAGUUGCAAUGCUUAAUAGGUACAUGGUAAAAGUCGAGUGAUUUCCUAUCACUUGCGAGUUAUAUGAGUUGCAUGUUUAUUUAUGUUAGAACCAUAAGGAUGACGGGCGGGGUCGGCCAAUUGGUUCUGAAUUGGUGGAUUGCGUCGUCUAUCUAGUGAAAAAUGUGCUAAGGUUGAACCGUGAUGGUGUUCGUGGUCAAGUGUUUGAAAGUACUAAGCUCAUACCUAGUAUGGGAUGGGAAGCCUAGUACCUGAUUGAACCGAUGUGGACCUUUACCCCGCUCCCUCUGGAACUAGGUUCCCCUGUUGUAGCAUUUGGGUACAAGUGUAGCCAUGCUACAGUGUCGUUCUGGGACUGGUGGGGCCUUGUAUCCAAGGGAAGUGGGCUCUGGACAAACACCGUGAAUUGAUGGGAACCGCUGAUAUAUGUGAAUCUGGCGCGGCACUAGCAUAUAUCGUGGGUUUAGGUCCAUCUUACAAGGUUAAGAAACUCGAUUCGAAUCGUCUGCCUCUCACAGCUUGAGGCUGCUUGAUCACUAUGCUGCACUGAUUAAGAAGAAGAACAAAGGAUGAUGAUUAAUAUUGAUGCUUGGUUAAAUUGUUUGUUCAACAUGUUUGCUUAGAGUAGGUGCUUACCUAGAAUGGUUAAACCAACUAGAACCUGUUGCUAAAACUUGAAAGUAAGGACCUACUUUAGAAGCAUUUGGCAAAACAAACCCCUCAGCCAAAAAGCCUUGCAUGUCUAGGAGUCGGUGGAGUAGAUACCACCUGACGGGUAAGUCUUGUUGAGUAUUAGUAUACUCAGCCUUGCUUGUGGCUAUGUUUUUCAGGUGUUGUUGUUGACUUGGUUGCCAGUGUGUCUUGGCUAUCCUAACUCCCUGCGGGUUGGACUGUCGAGUGGGACCCAUCCUCGAUCGGCGAGGAUCGUGGUGCUUGAUAUCAUGGCAGGCUUCACCAUGGUAUUUUUUUGCUGCUUUUGAACUCUGAAAUCUAAUUUAUGCUCUUGAACUCUUGAGUUGUAAUAACUUAAUGUGGGACCUGUAAUAAUUUAUUUGGAUUGUUGUAAUCUUCGGACUCGCCUUCGUGCGAGUAUGCUUUGUUUCGAUUCGAGACAAGUGGUUUUAUCUGGUGAAACCCGACGGACUGCCAUUUUAAUUCGAUUAAAGUGACCAUUCGCAUUUGAGGUGAGGUUAAGUACACUUUAGUCAGGUUAAUCUAGGUGGUUCCACCACAGAGAUGGAGGGAGCGAUGGCCGGCGUGGGAGAGGGAGGAGCGGAGGCCGGCGCGGGAAGGGAGGUAGGAGGCGGCUACCGGCGCGGAAGAUGGAGGAUCGGUCGGCGCGUCGGGGGAGCAGGCCGUUGGCGCGGGGAUCCAGGCAUUGUGGGAGCAGAGCUAGCGGUGGGGGGAGCCAGGCGCUGGGAGGACCUGGGGAAGAAGAUGGAGUAAAAAAAUAAUGAGGAUGACAUGUGGGACCCGCAGCUGACAGGUGGGACCCGCUACUAACGGUGUUAAAAUAUCAUCCAUCCUAUCCCUCUUAAACCCUUCAACCAAACAAAAGACUGGGUCCACCCCAUCCCUCUUCAUCCCUCUCAUCUAAACAUGAGAUGGUUCGACUCCAACUACAAAAGGGGGUCAGCUUCGACCCAAUCCGCGUCGUCCGAAAACCAAACACAUGCUAAAUCACCACCAUUGCAGUCUUGUUUCCAAGCUACAAGACAUCCUCCUUUUCUUCAUUAAGUCACCACCAUUCCACAGACAGUGCUUCCUGUAUUUGUCAAUCUGUUCAAGGAUCUCAAUAGGUAACUUUAGAGAGCAGAGAUAAAAUGUGGGCAUUGAAGAGUAAAUCGAGUUUACUAGAACAAGAUGCCCAGCAUAAGAAAGCAUUCUUGAGAUCCCCAUAAGAUGCUUCUCCAUUCUUGUUAGAAUUGGUAUGUACACUGAUGGUCUUGUGAGCCCAAGAGGCAAACCUAGGUAGGUGAAAGGCAUGCUACCCAUCUGACAGCCAAGUGUGUUAGCCAGUGUCAGGGAUAGAUCCUCAGUACCCGCAAGGAAGGAAGAAGACGGACUCCUACUAGGAUUCCUCUGUAAUCCUGCUAGGACUUAUACCAUGUAAUCAUACUAGGACCCCUCAUUGUAACUGACUAGUAAUCCCACCCCCUGAGUACAUAAAGGAGAGCAGGGGUACUUAGAUCGGCAAGCUCAGAACCAUCAUGAAUAGCCGACAAUCAAGCUACACAACACCGAAGCGCGGGGCACAAUAUACUCCACCAAAUAGGACGUAGGGUAUUGCACUACUCUGGUGGCCCGAACCUGUAUAAAUCUGUUUCUUGUGUCCUCAUUUUACCUUCAAGUUCCAGAUUCGGUGAUCCCCCACAAACCAAUCUACUACCUCGGGAUACCCCUCGGUAGGUUGCCGGGUAUAAAACACCAAAAUCUAGCGCGCCAGUUAGGGGUGAUCGUCGAGAUCAUCGAACGAGCUUGAAGGACCUCAUCAUCAAGAUCAAUCUACUCAAUAAGAAGCAACUCACCGAGUCAGAGUUCCGAGCAGACAAAUUUGCGUCGAGACAUAAUUGAUGCGCUUCAUGUUCCAAUCGAAGACCAAGUCAGUUUUUGUCGCAGGCUGCUGCAUACAGCUCAUCAAUCAAGUCACGCGCAGAUUGAGGCAAAUAAUCAAGUCGCUGGUGACUACUUCGACUACUCAUCUCGACUAAAAAACUAGUCGAGGACGGACUACUUCGACUACUCGUUUCGACUAGAAAACUAGUCGCGGACGGUCUACUUUGACUACUCAUCUCGACUAGAAAACUAGUCGAGGGCGGCUUCCACGUGAUCAAACAACUAGUCGGAAUCGACCCCGACUAGUUGGCUUCAUCAACAACAGUUGCGGCUUCACGACAAUCAUCCACGAAUCAAGCUAAGUCACUUUUUUUUAAUUAUUUUCCGGCUUGUUUUCCACAUGCAGGGCAACGCGCCAACUACCUAUCUGUGUAUGCCUCUCAACAGGAAUUACCCUCCAGACCUACACUUUGUCAACUAUUCCUAGGGCAUGUUGACCGACAGCCACGGGCUUGGUACAUCGAAUUAUGGAGGCCAUGGCCACAGGUUUGGUGCAUUGAGUUUUGGAAGCUCCGCUGCAGGUUUGGUACAUUGAAUUAUGGAGGCAAUGGCCACAUAUUUGAUGCACUGAAUACUAGAGGCUCACAACGGCUGCACUCUAAGGAGGCACAAAUCCUAUGCGUUCUACUCGCCGAAGGGCAGAAAACUCUUACGCGCAGUCACAAUAGUCUUUUUGUCGCAGUGUCGACUACUUAUUUUUAUUGUCUUCUCUUAGCGGUGACUAAUCUACUCAAGCAGAACACACCUCAAUUCAUGAUAGACUUGGAUCUUCUAUCGUGCCUAAACGCUAGGACGUGAGAUAGAGGUCUCCGUAGCAGCAGUGCCAGUAUGCGUACACGAGACAAAGAUCUCAUACAUGCAAUGGCAAUAGCUAAACAGGGACUGAGAGUCUAAAUGCAACAGGCUAACUACUCAGGAGAAAUAUGGCCGAAACAAGAGCAUGACACAACAUUUACAUUAUAUUCAUCACUGAAUAAAUUUCAGUAGUUCCAAAUUCUACAAAUAUGCUGCAUAAUGUAUGCAUUUCCUUUUUCAAGUCAAGUUUCAGCAACGACUCUCUAGGAAGCUCAUCGUACCUAUAAUGGCUCCACUAGCUCCCAGGCCCGGAGGCUAAGCGCCAAUUACUACUCGGAAUAUCACCAGUGGCUCAGCUAGCUUCCAAGCUCCGAGGCUAAAGCGCCAAUUACUACUCGGAAUACCUCCAGUAGCUCUGCUAGCUCUCAAACUCGGGGACUAAGCAUCAAUAACUACUCGACAUGGCUUCUACGGCUCACCUGGCGCAUAAGCUCGAGGGACGGAAGCUGCAAAACUACUUGGAUGAUGACUGGCAUGAAGACUAAAGCUCGCUAGACCCUCGGAUUGAUUAAAUUAGUCAUUCAAAGGCUCGGGGGCUGAUAAGCUACACCCAACAGUUGAUUUUUACAAGAUGAAAGAAGAAGAUUCAAGAUUUUAUUGACCCUCAGCCUUAUUCUUCGAUUCAACCUAAGGCCCGGGGGUUAUUCCAUAUGGAGUGCGACUUCCGCCACCCUCCAUAUCACAUUCCAAAGAUGAAGAUUAUAAAUUAAGAUGAUCAAGGGCUUGAGCACACCAUAGCCUCAUGGCAGCUUUGAGGAACUUUGAAGAUUCAGCCAGACAAAAACUACUCGGCGAGGAUCUAAAAAGUACUCAAAGAAUGCUGCAUUUGACUAUGAAGCGCUCGAGGGUUUGUUAGGGAUAGAUUCUCAGUACGCGCAAGGAAGGAAGUAGACGGACUCCUGCUAGGAUUCCUCUGUAAUCCUACUAGGACUUAUACCAUGUAAUCCUACUAGGACUUUUCCUUGUAACCGACUAGUAAUCCCACCCCUUGAGUAUAUAAAGGAGGGUAGGGGUACCUAGUGUCGGGCAUGCACCCCAGGCCCACGAGUAGGCCCUAGACGGCCCACCAAGGGAUGUACUCGGACACGAUCAAGACAAGGGGGCUACGCAGCAAUAGGCGUAUCCCACUCGGACUAGUUAAGUUUGCAUAAGGAAACUACUCGGACCACACCGAGUAGAACUUUGUAAUUGUACUCGACUAGGAUUUAGACUUGUAACCCUGCCCUCCCGAGUAUAUAAGGGCGGGUAGGGACCCCCUCAAACAACAACUCCCGUUCAUCUAAGAUCAAUACAACCAAACUCACAGGACGUAGGGUAUUACGCGAUCUAGCGGCCCGAACCUGUCUAAAUCAUGUUCCUUGCGUCACCAUCGACUCCUUGAUUCUCGAUGGCCCUUACCGCAUAAAAGACCACCUAGGGUACUCCCUAGGCAGGUUGACGGUCUAAAACACCGACAGCUGGCGCGCCAGGUAGGGGAACUCGUCGAGUUUCUCAGCGUGAGCUCAAUGGCACCUGUCGUCAUCAAGCCUGUCUUCAUCAUCGAAGCAGGUGCGACUUUCUUUUUUGGAUCUUGGCUCUGCAUCGCCGACGGCGCCGGAUCGUUUUGACGCGAAAUCAUCAACAUCCAGGAGAAGAAAUCGGAAGAUUCGGUCAGGAAAAACCAAAAUUUCAAAGUCAACAACCCCAAGUUCGACUACGCGUUGGACUCGACCCCAGUUCGGACUAGUCGGUCCCAGUCACUUCUCAAAUCAACUUUGAAUCAGAAACGGUUCCCAUACGGACUCCGCAAUGCAGCCGAAGUCUACCAAAGUUCCCUCACCCAAACUCAACUCGAACAUGGGAAAGACGAAGACGAUGACUCCGACUCGGACUACAUCCCAGAGAUCUCACUGACAAGACCAGCCCAAGGACUGGUAAUAACUUCAACAUCGCAAGGCAGAUUCGUCCACUGGCCAGGAAUGAGACCAUCCCUCCUCGCCCGCGACUACAAGUCACGCCUUAUCGCUCAUAUAGACAACCUCCCAUACCAGGAAGGCCUCCCACUCACUUCAAGCCGCGAGGAAAGUUCCACAGAAAUUGCAACAUCAAGCUCUGGAAGCUACUACCCAGACAUAGAAGUCUUUGUUAUUACUCAAUAUAACAACCCGAGUACUAGCCAACAGAGAACCCCCCAGCGACUAGCACAACUCGACAAUGUCUCAGAAGAUGAGUCAACAGCUAACGCCCCACAAGAUGAAACUUUCGACCAAAGGAACCAAAGAAGGAUGCACAAUACUACUCGGGCUGAACGACGACAAAUGCUGGCUACAAACAUUCCCAUCACAAACCUUGAAAGAGCAUUUGACGCAGUACAGGCUCAAGAAUACAACACUCCACUCGCAGCAAUUGCCUUGAUCAACCUUAUAUCAACGCUCAUACCUCAAGACAGAGACAACGAAGUCACAUCUCAACUCGCACAGCGAGGAAAAGGACUAAUUGGACAACUCAUAGAACAAGCUUACAAGCUACUCGAUAAAGAAUCUCCAAUCCCGUCUGUUCCCCGCAAUACGGCUCAUCAAGAGGGCAGUAGAGGUGCUGCAGUUAACAACAACUUCAAUGAAGUACAAAGGAAUGACAAUGAAGUACUAAACCAACCAAGGCAACACAGCCAAGGUCGAAGUAAACACAACGCUCCAGCACGACAAAAAGACAUUGGAGAAGUCAGCUGCACCAACUCCGCAAAAAGUCCUCGCCAUACUCAAAAAAAUCAUGAAGUAUCAAAUUUCAGCGAUCUACAAGAAAUAAUCAACAGUCGGCGUGAGGGAGAAGUUGACAAUUACAACCACUAAGUCCUGCUUUCACAAAUCGGGUAAUAAGGACAAGAUUACCCGAAAAGUUCAAACCAACAGGAAUCAUUAAGUAUGAUGGCAAGCAAGACCGAAUUCAAUGGCUAUGAUGCUACUCGUUGGCAGUCCAGGCAGCUGGGGGCAACAACGACACCAAAGUUAUCCAUUUUCCCAUAUGCAUGGAACCCGCACCUUUGACGUGGCUUGAGUCACUCAAGCCUAGAUCAAUUGACUCUUGGGCAGACUUGACAAAGGCUUUCACCAACAACUAUGCCGGCUCCAUGGCUAGACUGGGAACAAGAUUGACCUAAGUCAAGUAAAACAGAAAGAAGGUGAAACAUUACGCGACUACUUGCGACGAUUCUUCGAAAAGAAGGCUACUAUAGUUGACAUUUCAGAAACAGACGUCAUCGAGUGCUUCCAGAAUGGACUCUAUGAUCGAUGAACAUACCAAGACUUUGGCAGACAACGACCAACCAAUGUCAAAGACCUCAAAAUCAUGGUACAACAGUGGGCGGAUGAAGAAGACAAAGAGCGAGAACGGUUCGGCUCUCAUCGUAACCGAGGAUGCGACAACAACAACAAUGACCAGGAAAGAAACCGACACAGCGAUACUCGAAACAACUUCUCGGGUAAUCAAAAUCGUAAAAGGAAACAUGACAACACCAUUGCUUCCAUGACUAACUCUAGGAAAAAGGGAUCCCGCAAAAAUGAUGAAGGGCCAACCUUCACCGAACUACUAAAAAAACAGUGCCCAUGGCACCCGACUAGCAAACACUCAGCAAUAGACUGCUACAGCAUGCGCAGAGUAAUGUAAGACUUACCCGCACCACCACCUCCCGAAGAGUACAACAAGAAAAAAGAUAAGGGCAAGAACAAAGUCCACAACGACGAAGAAGAAGAAGGCGACUUCCAGACUGCCUCCAAGACAGUCAACGUCAUUUUUGGCGGAAUCCCAAGCACCGCAUCCAAGCGGGCCAAGAAACUCGUACUCAGGGAAAUCAUGGCCAUCGAGCCAACAGAUCCAACAUGCUAAAAUGGUCAGAAGUACCCAUAACUUUGAGCAGAAAGGACCAAUGGACAAAAUUCUCAGAGCCAGGCUGAUUCCCUCUAGUACUUGACCCCGUCGUGGUAGGAUCAAAGCUGACAAAGGUACUCAUUGAUGGCGGAAGUGGACUCAACGUCAUUUUUACCAAAACACUAAGAAAGAUGUGCCUCGAUGUCACGGAAAUGCUCACUCCAACAGAUUCACCCUUCUACGAAAUCGUACUAGGAAACGCAGCUAUUCCACUAGGACAAGUCAUCCUACCAGUUACUUUUGGAACUAAGGAACACUACCAAACCGAGUACAUCAGAUUUGAAGUCGCCGACUUCGAGACAUCUUACCACGCCAUACUCGAAAGGCCAGCACUAGCUAAAUUCAUGGCCAUACCACACUACAUUUACUUGGUACUCAAAAUGCCAGGGCCCAAGGGAGAACUAACGCUGCGAGGCCGUGGAGAUUGCCGCAACCUCUCAAGCACCCAGCCCUAUGCAACAAGUUUUCACAGCUUCAAAGAAACUUCACCCAACUGAAGUCAAGAUCCCAGAAAACAAGUCGGGAUCCACAAAGGUGAAACCAGCAAGCGAGAGGGACUUCAAGCUAGUAGAUCUCCAUACGGGUGACUCUUCUAGGACAACUCUGAUCGGAACAGGGCUAGAUCCUAAAUAGGAAACCGCGCACAUCAAUUUUCUUCGGGCUAACCAUGAUAUCUUUGCUUGGAAACCAUCUGAAAUGCCUGGUGUGCCCAAGGAACUGAUUGAGCACUCUCUAAAUGUUGAUCCCAAAGCUACACCAAAAUGACAGUGACUUCGCAAGUUCGCCCAAGAUAGACGAGAAGCAAUAAAAAAAGAACUAGCCAAACUACUCGCAGUAGGGUUCAUCAAAGAAGUCUUUCACCCUGACUGGCUAGCCAAUCCUGUACUCGUUCGUAAGAAAAACAAUGAAUGAAGAAUGUGCGUCGAUUACACGGAUCUCAACAAACACUAUCCAAAAGACCCUUUUGGAUUACCCAGGAUCGACCAAGUAGUCGACUCUAUUGCUGGGUGCGAUUUGCUAUGCUUUCUUGACUGCUACUCGGGCUACCAUCAGAUAAGCCUUAAAGAAGAAGAUCAAGCUAAAACAACCUUCAUCACUCCAUUUGGGGCCUUCUGCUACAAAACAAUGUCAUUUGGACUAAAAAAUGCAGGGGCAACUUAUCAACGAGCUAUACAGAUGUGCUUCGAAAAGCAAUUACAUCAUAAUGUUGAAGCUUACGUGGACGACGUAGUCAUCAAAAUAAGAAACUAGGAGGACCUAAUCACCAACUUGGAGGAAACCUUCUCAAGCUUGCGAGCUUUCCGAUGGAAACUCAAUCCUACCAAAUGCAUCUUUGGAGUACAUUCUAGCAAACUACUCGGGUUCAUCAUUAGCCAUCGCGGCAUUGAGGCCAACCCAGAGAAAGUAUCUGCCAUCACAAACAUGCACGCACCAGCUAGCAUCAAGGAUGUGCAGAAACUCACAGGCUGCAUGGCAACCCUCAAUCGAUUUAUCUCGAGACUUGGAGAACGAGGACUACCCUUCUUCAAGCUUCUCAAAUGACAGGACAAGUUCAAAUGGACAGAAGAGGCAGACGAGGCAUUAACACAACUCAAAGACUUCCUGUCAAAACCUCCAAUCCUCACUGCUCCAUCCCCAAACGAGGACUUGCUCCUAUACAUAGCAGCUACUACUCACAUCAUCAGCACGGCAAUAGUAGUCGAAUGGUCUAAGCCAGGCCAUGUUUACAAAGUCCAAAGACCUAUAUACUUCAUUAGUGAAGUACUCUCGGACUCCAAAACUCGGUACUCGCCGAUACAAAAACUCCUAUAUGCAAUUCUGCUCACUUCACGAAAGCUGCGACAUUAUUUUCAAGAGCACCACUGUAUCCUAUAUGCAAUUCUACUCACUUCACGAAAGCUGCGACAUUAUUUUCAAGAGCACCACAUCACAGUCAUCACUGAUUUCCCGCUCGGUGAAAUUCUCCACAAUAGAGACGCCAUGGGUAGAAUCUCCAAAUGGGCAGUUCAACUCAGAGCUUUAACCUUGAACUUUAAACCAAGGACAGCUAUCAAAUCUCAAGCUUUGGUCGACUUCAUGGCUGAAUGGAUUGAAAACCAAGUGCCAACACCAGUCGAGAGGCCAGAGCACUGGGUAAUGUAUUUCAACGGUUCCCUCAAACUCGAAGGAGCCAGUGCAAGCAUACUUCUCAUCUUCCCAAAGGGAGACCAACUCAAGUACGUACUACAAAUCUUCUGGGAAGUCUCAAACAAUGAAGCCGAGUACGAAGCACUGCUACACGACCUUCAUCUUGCAAUCUUCCUCGGAAUCAAUAGACUAAUAGUAUACGACGACUCACUAGUGGUUAUAAACCAAGUCAAUGAUGAAUGGGAUUGAAACAAGGACAACAUGGACGCCUACUGCAAAAGAAGUUCGCAAACUGGAAAAUAAGUUUUUAGGCUUGGAAUUCCAUCAUAUCGUCCGCGACAACAACGUAGCCGCCGACGUAUUAUCAACAAUGGGCUCAACUCAUGCAGAAGUUCCAGCAGGAAUUUUCAUACACGAACUCCAUAAACAAUCCAUACCAGAACAAGUCACACCACUGGUGAUCAAGACUACAGAAGUUACUCGAGAAAUCAUGAUGAUAGAAGUCGACUGAAGGACACCCUUCAUCGACUACAUCAAAGAUCAUAAGUUACCAUCCGACAAUAAUCAAGCCGAGCAAAUUUCCCGACGAGGAAAAAACUACAUUUUAGUCGGAGACAAGCUCUACAUGAAAAGUGCAUCAUCAGGGGUACUCAUGAAGUGUGUUACCCGUGAAGAUGGCCAAGAAAUCCUAAAAGAAAAUUCACAAAGGAAUUUGUGGCAACCAUGCAUCCUCACGAAUGAUAGUAGGCAAGGCUUUACAAGCAGGUUUCUACUGGCCCAUGGCCUUGGCAGAUGCGAAACAAUUAGUUUGAAAAUGCCAAGGCUGCCAAUUCUUCACUAAACAACAACAUGUACCUGCCUACAAGCUAGUCACAAUACCUCCAACAUGGCCUUUCACUUGCUUGGGGCUGGACAUGAUAGGACCAUUGCCAACCGCGCCAGGAGGAUUCUACCAAGUACUCGUGGCCAUUGACAAAUUCACCAGAUGGAUCAAGGUCAAACCAGUCACUUGCCCCAAGGCAGACCGAGUCCUCGACUUCUUGGAUGAAAUUGUACACCGUUACGGCUUUCCAAACAGAAUCAUCACAGACCUGGGGUCCAACUUCAACAAUCAUGACUUCUGGGAGUACUGCGAGAAUAGUGGAAUUGACGUCUGCUACAUCUCGGUUGCUCACCCACUAGCCAAUGGACAAGUCGAGCGCGCCAAUGGCAUGAUACUCAAAGCUCUCAAGAAAAGACUACACGACGUCGGCAAUACAAAAGGAGGCAAAUGGCUCAAGAAAUUACCUAAUGCUCUAUGGGGACUAUGAACCCAACCAUGCAAGACUACUGGGCUCUCCCCCUAUUUCCUAGUAUACGGAUCAGAAGCUAUACUACCUGCGGACGUCAUGUGGCAAUCCCCUUCAGUCGAACAAUAUGAUGAAGAAAUGGCAGAAGAAACGAGACGCACGGAUCUGGACAGCCUAGAAGAAACAAGAUGCGCAGCAUUAGUCCAAUCAGCCAGAUACCUUGACGGGUUAAGACGAUACCACGACCGCAAUGUCAAGGAACGAUCUUUCAACUUAGGCGACAUGGUACUCAAAUGAAUUCAAGACACGACUGUCGGUGUUUUAGAUCAGCAACCCGCCUAGGGGAUACCCUAGGUGGUCUUUUGUGCGGUAAGGACCGUCGAGAAUCAAGGAAUCAAUGGUGACGCAAGGAACACGAUUUAGACAAGUUCGUGCCGCUAGAUCGCGUAAUACCCUACGUCCUGUAUGUUGGUUUGUAUUGAUCUUGGAUGAAUUGGAGUUGUUCAUGUUUGAGGGGGGGGGGUCCCUACCUGCCCUUAUAUGCUCGGGAAGGUAGGGUUACAAGUCUGAGUCCUAGUCGAGUACUAUUAUAGAGUUCUACUCGGUAUGGCCCAAGUAGUUUUCCAUACACAUACUUGACUAGUCUGAGUGGGAUACACCUAUCCUUUGUCUUGAUUGAAUCCGAGUACGCCCCUUAGUGGGUCGUCCAAGGUCUACUCGUGGGCCUGGGAUGCAUGCCCGACAAGCCCCAGAGUACUUUGUAGUCGUGCGCCACAGUCUUGGGUACUGCGGGCACUAUCCGAGUAGUUCGUCAUACAGGUUGUGGACUGAAGUGCUGGAGUACUGUCGCGUGGCUGGAAGGUACUCUUCUUGUUCGUUCGAGUUGUUUCUGUUCUAAGAAUUUUUAUAUGGUAGUGCGAUGUCAAUCGCACUCCAUAUGGAGUAGCCCCCGAGCCUUAGGUUGAGUCGAAGAGUCAGGCUUAGGGUCAAUCCUUCCCAUUUGCCUGUUCUUCCCUUGGAGAUCUCGAAAAAAGAAAAAACUGACCAUCGGGUACGGUACACGCAGCCCCCGAGCACUUAGGCGAUCUCCAAGUGGUCAGCAAUCUGUUGAAAAGAGUAGCCGUUGGGAGUUUUAAGGCAAUUAAUCCGCUUAAAAUCCGUCCGUUGCGUAACUGACGCUUGGAAUCCGGAGGUGGCGGAGAUAAAACUGGAGGACCCCCUUUCGGUUAGGUCUACACCCUGCUGUAAUUAGAUCUGUUUUUCUUCCUUCCCUGCGCCUCUGCUCCGUGUUUGCGCCGUCGCAAUUGCCAAGUGCCACCGCCACCAUUGCUCCCCCUUGAGAGAGAUUCUAGAGUGAGUGCCUUUUGUUGAGGUUGAAAUCGGAUGCGCACCAAGAAGAUGGGAAAGAAGCCCAAGAAGAUCCAGGGCAAGGCUCCAGCGGCGGGCAAGGUGAAAUCCAAGAAGGGGAAGGAGCUGGUGCUGCCGGUGCCGAAGGUGGGGCUGACGAAUCAAACUGCGUCGCACCCGCCUGGAGUGAUGUGGCAGCAUUCGGUGAUGAAGGAGGAGGCCGUGCAAGUGCUAGUCGAUGCCAAGCUUCUGCAGAUGAAGGAAAUACUCGAGGGGUGCCUAGCUUUUCGAAAUACGUGGCAAUUUGAGGAACAUCCAGGCGAGACCGUGAUGCUCACACAUGUGGAGAAGGGGUUGGUAGUGCCCACCUCCGACUUCUUCAGAGGUAUCCUCGAGUACUAUAAGCUUCAACUUGUCCAUUUGAACCCCAAUGGUGUACUACAUAUGUCCAUUUUCGUACACCUCUACGAAGUUUAUUUGGUAGUUCCUCCAAGCCUCGAGUUGUUUAGGAAGUUGUUCCGUUGUAAGCCUCAGCCAAGUGCCCAAAGGACAGAAGUCUUUGGAUGCGCCGGGUUCCAACUCAGGAACUCAGGCGCAUAUAUUGAGUAUAACUUGACUGACUCCCAUGGGGAGUGGAAGAAAAGGUGGUUCUACAUCGGGAACCAUGACCCUCGGUUGCCUGUGGUGACUGGCCACGUGCCGAAGCAUGCAGAAAACUUGGUGAGCGAACCCGAAGACACCUCGGAGCUAAACCACUUGAUGCAGCAGAUUACCGAGUUGAAGGCACUCAGUCUUACUGGGAUUAACGUGGCGGCCAGUUUUCUGAAGAGAAGAGUCCAGCCGCUUCAGAAACAUGCUCACUCGAGGAGUGAGUACACGGGUCUUAAUGAUCUAUCGCGUAUGUCCGAUGAGGAUAUAUCUGAUGAUGAUGUAGAGGCGCUGCAGGCCAAGUUCUUUAGGAACUACUAGGGAGUACCAGUGAUCCCUGCAGCUCUUCGGCAGUAUGAUGCCUGGUAUGAGCCAGAAGUGGUAUGUUCUGGCCCUUGACUUGUACUUUUUGACUUGUGUGAUAUUUGUUGUUAAUAUCGACUUGUUUGUGUAGUCUCGAGUUCUUGCCGGCUACUUGGUGCAGUCAGAAGAAGAAACUGUUGUUGAUGAGUCGGAGGACGAGCCCUCCCCUCCUGUGAAGAAACGCAGAGUAAUCCGCAAAAUGUCUGCGGCAAAGUUUGCUUCAACUCCUGAGAAGUCUCAGGUUACGAAGGUAUGUAGUCGUGUACUCAAUUGUUGUUGAUGAAUUUGAACUUGCAAUCAUUGUGACUACUUUGUCUUGUUCAAAAAGGUUGUUGAUACAACACUUGGUGAUGGUGAGGCUGCUUCUAAAGAAGUAGUCGUGACCGACCCGGAUGUCGGUAAUUUAUCUGUUGAUAUGGUGCCGGAGAGGAUGUCAUCAACGGAAGCUGGAGUAGCCCCCGAGCUAACCGCACAGGCUUCGUCGACUACCACGCUGCCAGUUACUGACCAGGCAGUCCUGGGGUUGCCCGCCGGAGUAGCGGGUGUUGCAAAGGUGUCGCUAGUAGUCGCUAUUGGUUCUUUGUUGUCCAGUGUAAUCGCUAGUGGUAAGCAUUCUGUCUCGAUUAGUUUCAUUUGUUUGAGUUGUAUUGUAGUCUUGACUUCUGUUUCCCAGGUUUUGGCGAGAAGACAGCGCCGGCUGUUGUUCCUGCGGCGCCGAGUACUCGGCCACCUAUUGCCGAGAAGAAACGUGUGUGAUUUGCGCCACGCUCAACUCGGUGAGUUUGCUUGUCUGUUCUAUAUCUUUAAACUAUCUUGAAGUCAUGUAAUGACAUGUUUUGAUGCAAAGAUGCAGAGGAAACUAUCACUGUAGAGACAGGGGUAGAGUCGGAUCCCCCGACUACAUUAUCUGCUCCCUUGGAGGAUUUGAUUGUUGAUGAAGUAGCUGAAGUCGACACCGGUCGCCUUGGAGCUACUAUGUCUAUGCUUCAAGACGUCAUCCGUUCGGUGGAAGUUCCUGCCGCCGCGUCGGGUUCGGGAAGUGCUACCUUAUCAAUUGGCGGAUCUCUUGCUGUAGUGGGCGUGAAAAAAUCUAAAGAGGCAACUGCUCUAGAUAUGUCUUUGCAUUCCUGUUAUUGUAGUGGAAGCAGUCAGAUGACUGAUAAUAAAUGUUUUAGGUGCCUCUUUGGGUGCGACUCCUCAUCUUGCGGAGAGUACUCGAAGACCAGUACUUAGCUUGCCAACUGACUCAGAGUUCCAGAGGGCCAUCAAUGUUUUCUGGAGCUUCCAGGUGAAUUUCCUUUGCUUUGUUACAUAGCGAGUAGCUGUGAUGGUUUUAACUGAUCGUAUUGCUUUGCAUACUCGGACCCUUCAGGAACGAAGUCAUCAAUUGGAGCAGGAAUGUGCUCGACUUACAGAAGCCUUGAGGGUGCACGAGGUUGGAGCGAAGUCUUUUGCUGUGGAGUGGUCGUAUCACGAAGUCCUGCAGCAAAAACUGGAGAGUCGCUACAAGUCUGUGAACCAAAAGUAUCAAGGUGAAUACUUUGCAUAUUCUGAGUAUGUCCAAUUCUAGUCGGCUGUGGUUGAACUCGUCUAUUUUGCAGAGCUCAAGAGGCAAGAGGCUGCUGCGAGGAGCCAAGUCCUCGACUGGAGAAAUGCGCACGAUCGAGUGGCGGAUGAAAGCUGAACGUCUUCGAGCCGUGCUGGCAGAAGCACAGGCUGCUUGCGAGCACCAGCGAGAUAGGAAGAUGCAAAAUGGAGUGAUGCUUGCCAUGGCCAUGGUGGCAUGCAGGGAUCAUGCCCAGACCAUGGGAAGACUCCGAGGCAAACUUCAGGAGUUGACUGUAGCAGCUGAAGAUUUGGUGAACGCCAUAGCCCCUGUGGAAGAGUGCGCAGGACCUCAAUCGUUAGUCAAGUGAUUGAAGACUUCCCCGAGUAAAGUGGCGGGACUCUGCAAAGUUGUUUGCAAAUAGGUCCUUGCUGUUGUGAAGUCAUACUACCUGAGGGCGGACUUGGUGGCGGCUGGUGAUGGCGUGGCUCGCAACUGCACAGAAAAAGCAUAUGCGCAAUACCUCGAGAAGGCGGAGCCUAUCGCGUUGAAGAUGUUGGAGUUUGUCUCUCCAGAAGAUCCUUGAGCGUUUUAUGUACCCUUGAAUCUGUCGAGUACUUUGAACAAUAUUUUGACAAAUGAAGGCUUGCCCAUUGUUUUGCUGCUUGAAGUGGUUGUCUUGCCAAGAGUAGUUUUACUCCAUCUCGCCCGACCUAAAGUUGCGGGAUCGGCUAAGCCUACUCUCGAAAGGGGGGAACUCCACCUCGCCCGACCUUGGGACCAGUGGUCGGGUGCGGCCGACCCCUUGAGGGAAAAAACUCCGCCUCGCCUGACCCUAGAUUCCAGGGUUGGUGCGGCCGACCCCUUGAGGGAAAAAAAACUCCACCUCGCCCGACCCUGAGUCCCAGGGCCGGGUGCGUCCGACCCCUGAACAGAGGGUUGGAUCCUUCCAAGCCCCCGAGACAAUGCAGGCCGUGCUUGGCUAGAGUAGUUCUGAGUUUCGAGUUGUCACGAUGCUGUCGGGUACUCUGCUUUUGAGGGUGCACCGGUGUACCGUACUCAUUGUCUUUUGUGGAUGCACGGGUGUACUGUACUCUUUUAUCCUUUGUAGCAUAAGUGCCUUCACGUGGGCAGAGUCAGAAGUCGUCAGACUCAUUGAUCACGGGCGCAUAGUAACUCUUGGGUAGGUGGUAGUUGUAGCUCUCGGCUAUAAAUAGAUCCUUCUGGAGGUCGACCCAAAUCAAGUUUCUGAGUAGCAAUGGAUUGCCUUCGGUUGCUGUUGUUUGAGUGUAGAGAGCCAUCAAAGAGUGCACUGGUGCUAGAAGAUUCCUCGUAGAUUGAGGCCACCUUCCCUCCACAGACUCCUGCGCUCGUAGGGAUAGCCGUGAUGCUAGAAGAAUUCUCGUAGGAGGUUUCAUCGCGAUCCUCAUCUUGCAGCUCGUGAUCCAAUGGAGUACAUGCUGGAACUCACGAGUGAUAGGUGAUGAGUGCCGCGGUCUUUAUCCCACUCUCUUAGAGGUGGAGGUGUGGCCGUAGAGUGGGUUGGCUCCGCAAGGCUAGCAAAAGAGCAGCCUUGGUUCCCUCUAGGUGCGGCGCGCGGGAUUCAUCAUUGCCGCUAUCAAGGCACUGGCGAUGCAGGAGUUCCUGGCAUUGCCUUGGGUAGAGGACCUGGAUAUGGCUACGUUUUGCGUAGCUUCCUUGCGUGUAGGCCCUUCCCAUUGUAGUCGAUAGACCUGAGUGGCCUUGUGAUAUAGUAAAACCUUAGGCUUAAAUGCAGCCUGCAAGGAGGCAGUUGCUUGUAGUCCUUGUGUAUUUCGAGUACUCCUACUCGUAUGUAACUUGAUGAUGUACCUUCGGUUCUGAGUAAAGAAUUAUUUUAUGGAAACUUUGUACUAGGGCAGUGAUUCUUGUUGAGUUGAUAAUUCUUGAAUCAAGACUAAUGUAUCUUGAAGUCGGUAGUCGAGCUGUUAGCUCGAGUAGUCAUCAUGAGUUGUUGCCUUGAAGCGAUUACUCGGGUGCUACUAUGGGUAAUAAUGACAAAGGUGUUCUAUAUUCCAAGAGUUUGGUACUUGUUCUCCUGAAAGCUCUUGGAGUCUGUAAGAUCCAGGUCCUAUAACCUUUGAUACGAUGUAAGGACCCUCCCAUGGUGAAUUGAGUUUAUGCAACCCUGUUGUAUCUUGGAUACGCUUGAGGACCAUAUCGCCCAAGGUGAAAGGUCUUUCCUUGAUGUUACGGUCGUGGUAAUGCCUUAAACCGUCAAGGUAUAUGGCAGAUUGCACUAGUGCUGCGCAUCUUGUUUCUUCUAGGCUGUCUAUAUCUGUUCUCCUUUUUUCUUCUGCCAAUUCUUCGUCAUAUUGUUCAACUGAAGGUGAUUGCCACAUGAUGUUGGCGGGUAGUAUGGCUUCCUAGCCAUAUACGAGGAAAUAGGGCGAGAGCCCAGUAGUCUUGCAUGGUUGGGUACGUAGGCCCCACAGAGCAUUGGGUAACUCUUUGAGCCAUUUGCCGCCUUUGGUGUUGCCAACAACGUGUAGUCUUUUCUUCAGGGCGUCGAGUAUCAUGCCAUUAGCAUGCUCGACUUGUCCAUUGGCUCGCAGGUGAGCGACCGAGACAUAGCAGACGUCGAUGCCGCUAUUCUCGCAGUAUUUCAAAAGUCGUGAUUGUUGAAGUUUGACCCUAGGUCUGUGAUAAUUCUGUUGGGAAAGCCAUAGCGGUGUAUGAUUUCAUCUAAGAAGUCGAGGACCCGGUCUGCCUUGGGGCAAGUGACUGGUUUGACCUCGAUCCACUUGGUGAAUUUGUCGAUUGCCACGAGUACUCGGUUGAAUCGUCCUGGUGCAAUUGGUAAUGGCCCUAUCAUGUCAAGCCCCCAGCAGGCAAACGGCCAUGUUGGAGGUAUCGUGACUAUCUUGUAGGCUGGUACAUGCUGUUGUUUGGUAAAGAAUUGACAACCUUUGCACUUCUGAACUAGUUGUUUAGCAUCGGCUAGAGCCAUUGGCCAGUAGAAGCCUGCUCUGAAAGCCUUGCCAACUAUUAUCCACGAAGAGGCGUGGUUGCCACAGAUUCCUUUGUGAAUUUCCUCUAAGAUUUCUUGACUAUCUUCCCGGGUAACGCACUUCAUGAGUACCCCGGAUGAUGCACCUUUCCUGUAGAGCUUGUCUCCGACUAGAACGUAAUUUUUUACUCGCCGGGAGAUUUGUUCAGCCUUAUUUUUGUCGGAUGGUAACUGGUUAUCUUUGAUGUACUCGAUGAAGGGUGUCCUCCAGUCGACUUCUAUCAUCAUGAUUUCACGAGAGACGUCAGCAUUCUGGAUCGCUGGCGAUGUCACUUGUUCCGGUAUGGACAGCUUGCGCAGUUCGUGUAUGAAAAUUCCUGCUGGAACCUCUGCACGAGUUGAGCCCAUUUUGGAUAAGACGUCGGCGGCAACGUUGUUGUCGCGGACGAUGUGAUGAAAUUCCAAGCCUGCGAACUUGUUUUCCAGUUUACAGACUUCUUUGCAGUAAGCGUCCAUGUUGUCCUUAUUUCAGUCCCACUCGUCAUUGACCUGGUUUAUAACGACUAGUGAGUCGCUGUACACCAGUAGUCUUUUGAUGCCGAGGGAGAUUGCAAGGUGAAGGCCAUGUAACAGUGCUUCGUACUUGGCUUCGUUGUUAGAUGCUUCGCAGAAGAUUUGCAGUACAUAUUUGAGCUGGUCUCCCUUGGGGGAGAUGAGUAAUACACCUGCACCGCCCCCUUCAAGCUUGAGGGACCCGCGAAGUACAUUACCCAGUGUUCUGGCCGUUCGACUGAUGUUGGUACUUGAUUUUCAGUCCAUUGAGCUACGAAGUCGACCAAAGCUUGGGAUUUGAUAGUUGUCCUUGGCUUGAAGUCCAAGGUGAGAGCUCCGAGUUCAACUGCCAUUUGGAGAUUCAACCCGUGGCGUCUUUGUUGUGAAGAAUUUUGCUGAGCGGGAAGUCAGAGAUGAGUGUAAUGUUGUGCUCCUAGAAAUAAUGGUGCAAUUUCCGGGAGGUGAGCAGGAUUGCGUAUAAGAGCUUUUGUAUCGGUGAUACCGAGUUUUGGAGUCCGAGAGUACUUCGCUCAUGAAGUAGACAGGUCGUUGGACCUUGUAAGCGUGGCUCAGUUUAGACCGUUCGACUACUAUUGUCGUGCUGACGACAUGAGUAAUAGCUGAUAUGUAUAGGAGCAAGUCUUCGUUUGGAGACGGAGUGAUGAGUACAUGAGGCUUUGACAGAAAGUCUUUGAGUUGUGUUAGUGCCUUGUCUGCCUCUUUUGUCCAUUUGAACUUGUCCUGGCGUUUGAGAACCUUAAAGAAGGGUAGUCCUCAUUCUCCGAGUCUCGAGAUGAACCGGUUGAGGGUGCCAUGCAGCCUGUGAGUUUCUGCACAUCCUUGAUGCUAGCUGGUGCUUGCAUGUUUGUGAUGGCAGAUUUUUUUUCCGGGUUGGCCUCGAUGCCGUGAUGGCUAAUGAUGAACCCGAGUAUCUUGCUAGAAGGUACUCCGAAGAUGCACUUAGUAGGAUUGAGUUUCCAUCGGAAAGCUCGUAGACUAGAGAAAGUUUCCUCCAGAUCAUCGAUGAGUUCCUCCUGGUUUCUUGUUUUGAUGACUAUGUCAUCGACAUAAGCUUCAACAUUGCGGUGAAGUUGCUUUUCGAAGCACAUCUGUAUGGCUCGUUGAUAAGUUGCCCCUACAUUUUUUAGUUUGAAGGACAUUGUUUUGUAGCAGAAUCCUCCGAAAGGUGUGAUGAAAGCUGUUUUGGCUUGAUCUUCUUCCUUGAGGCUGAUCUAAUGAUAGCCGGAGUAGCAGUCGAGAAAAUAUAGUAAAGCGCAUCCAGCGGUGGAGUCGACCACCUGAUCGAUCCUGGGGAGUCUGAAAGGGUCUUUUGGAUAGUGCUUGUUGAGGUCGGUGUAGUCGACGCACAUCCUCCACUCGUUGUUUUUCUUACACAUCAGUACGGGAUUUGCUAGCCAGUCAGGGUGAAAGACUUCUAUGAUGAACCCUGCCGCGAGUAGCUUGGCCAACUCUUUCUUGAUUGCUUCUCGUCUGUCUUGAGCGAAUCUGCGAAGUCGCUGCCAUUUUGGGGUAGCUUUGGGAUCAACAUUUAGAGAGUGCUCGAUCAGCUCGUUGGGCACACCUGGCAUGUCAGCCGGUUUCCAGGCGAAGAUAUCGUGGUUAGCCUGAAGGAAACUGACGAGCGCGGAUUCCUAUUUAGGGUCUAGCCCUGUUCCGAUUAGGGCUAUCUUGGAAGGGUCGCCCGUCUGGAGGUCGACUGGUUUGAAGUCUUACUCGCUGGCGGGUUUCACCUUUGUAGACCCCGACUUGUUUUCUGGGAUCUCUAGUUCAGUUGGAUGGAGCUUCUUUGAAGCUGUGAAGACUUGUUGCAUGGGACUAGGUGCUUGAGAAGUCGCAGCAAUUUCCACAGCUUCAGUGUCGCAUUCGUAGGAUCGCCGUAGAUCUCCUCGUAGCGUUAGUUCUCCCUUGGGGCCUGGUAUUUUGAGUAUUAAGUAAACAUAAUGUGGUAUGGUCAUGAACUUGGCAAGCGCUGGCCUUCCGAGUAUGGCGUGGUAAGAUGUCUCGAAGUCGGCGACUUCAAAUCUGAUGUACUCGGUACGGUAGUGUUCUUUAGUUCCAAAGGUAACUGGAAGGAUGACUUGUCCUAGUGGUAUAGCUGCAUUUCCGGGAAUGAUAACGUAGAAAGGUGAAUUUGUUGGAGUAAGCAUUUUAGUGAUGUCGAGGCCCAUCUUCCUCAAUAUCUUGGUGAAAAUAACAUUGAGUCCACUUCCGCCGUCGAUGAGUAAUUUGGUUAACUUUGAGACUGCCACAACCGGAUCGAGUAUUAGGGGGAAACGGCCUGGUUCUGAGAACUUGGUCCAUUGGUCCUUUCUGCUGAAGGAAAUGGGCACCUCUGACCAUUUUAGCAGUGUUGGAUCCGUUGGUUCAAUGGCCAUGAUCUCCCUGAGUACGAGUUUGUUGGCUCGCUUGGAUGCGGUGCUUGGAAUACUGCCAAAGAUGACGUUGACAGUUUUUGGGGCGGUCUGGAAGUCGCCCUCUUCGUCUUCGUCGCUGUGGGCUUUGUUCUUGCCCUUAUCUUUUUUUUGGUGUACUCUUCAGGGGGUGGUGGUGCGGGUAAGUCUUGCAUUACUCGGCGCAUGCUGUAGCAGUCUAUUGUCGAGUGCUUGCUAGUCGGGUGCCAUGGACACUGUUUUUUGAGUAGUUCGGUGAAGGUUGCCCCUUCAUCGUUUUUGCGAGAUCCCUUUUUCCCGGAGUUGGUCAUGGCAGCAACAGUGUUGUCGGGCUUCCUUUUGCAGUUGUGAAUACUCGAAUAGUUGUUUCGAGUAUCAUUGUGUCGAGUUCUAUCUUGGUUAUUGUUGUUGCCACGUCCGCGGUUGCGGUGGGAGCCGAACCGUUCUUACUCUUUGUCUUCUUCAUCUGCCCACUGCUGCACCAUGACUUUGAGGUCUUUGACAUUAGCUGGCCGUCGGCGACCAAAGUCUUGGUAUAUCCGUCGAUCGUAGAGUCCAUUCUGGAAGCACUCGAUGACGUCUAUUUCUGAGAUGUCAACUAUGGUUGCCUUCUUUUUGAAGAAUCAACGCAGGUAGUCACGUAAGGUCUCGCCUUCUUUUUGCUUAAUUUGACUUAAGUCAAUGUUGUUGCCUGGUCUAGCCAUGGAGCCGGCGAAGUUGUUGGUGAAAGCCUUUGUCAAGUCUGCCCAAGAGUCAAUGGACUUGGGUUUGAGUGACUCAAGCCAGGUCAGUGGUGCGGGUUCGAUGCACAUGGGGAAGUGGAUGACUUUGGUGUCGUUAUUGCCCCCGGCUGCUUGGACUACUAGCGAGUAGCAUCGUAGCCAUUGAAUUGGGUCUUGUUUGCCAUCAUACUUGGUGAUUCCAGUCGGCUUAAACUUAUCGGGUAGUUUUGUCUUCAUUACCCGAUUUGUGAAAGUAGGAAAAUUGUUGUAGUUGUCGACUUCUCGCUCGCGUCGACUAUUGAGGAUUUCUCGUAGAUCACUGAAGUUUGACACUUCGUGGUUUUUCCGAGUAGGGCGAAUACUUUUAACCGAGUUGGUGCAGCUAGCCUCUCCAACAUCCUUAUGGCGUGCUGGGGCCUUGUGUUUGCUUGGGCCUUGGCUGUGCUGCCGGGGCUGGUUGACGACUUCGUUGUCGUUCCUUGGAACGUUGUUGUUGGCUAUAGCUCCUCUGCUGCCUUCUUGGCAAGCCGUGAUGCGAGGAACAGACGGAAUUGGUGAUUCUUUGUCAAGUAGCUUGUAGGCUUGCUCCGUGAGUUGUGCGAUUAGUCCGUUGCCGCGCUGCACGAGUUGAGUUGUGGCCUCGUUAUCCUUGUCUUGAGGCAUCAACGUCGUUAAGAGAUUGAUUGAGGUGAUUGCCGCGAGUGGAGUAUUGUGCUCUUGAGCCUGAACUGUGUCGAAAGCCCUUUCAAGGUUUGUGAUGGGAAUAUUUGCAGCCAUCGACUGCUAUCACUCGGCUCGAGUAGCGUUGCGCAUCCUCCUUUGGUUCCGUUGCUCGGAGGUUUCAUUGUGAGGAGCGUUAGCUGUAGACUCAUCUUCAGAGAUGUUGUCGAGUUGUGCUAAUCGCCUGGGGUUCUGUUCUGGCUAGUACCCGGGUUAUUAUUUUGAGUAAUAACAAGUACUUCCCUGUCCGAGUAGUAGCUUCCGGAGCUUGAUGUUGCAAUCUCUGUGGAGCUUUCCUCGUGAUUGGAAUUGAGUGGAACACCCUCUUGAUAUGGGAGAUUAUCUAUAUGGGCGACAAGACGCGAGUCGUAGUCGCGGUCAAGAAGAGGUGGUCUCAAACCUGGCCAAUGUACGAAUCUGCCUUGUGACGUUGAAGUUAUUACCAAUCCUUGGGCUGGACCAGAUAAUGGUAUCUCUGGUGGAUAAACCGAGUCGGAAUCGUCGUCUUCGGCGUGCCUGAGUUCGAGCUGAAUUCGAGUAAGAAAAUCCUGGUAGACUUCGGCUGUAUUGCGGAGUCCGUGUGGAAACCGUUUUGGAGUCGAAGCCGAGUUGGGAAGUGACUAAGACCAAAUGGUCCGAAGUGAAGUCGAGUCCGACGCGUAGUCGAACUCGAAGUCGUCGACUUCGAAAUCUUUGUUUUUCCCGACCAGAUCUUUUGCUUUCUUCUCCUGAGCGUUGAUGAUCUGGCGUCGGAACGAACCCGAGCCAUCGGCGAUGCAGAGCCAGGAUCCGAAAAUGAAGGUGGCGCUCGCUUCGAUGAAGAAAACGGGCUUGAUGAUGACCAUUGCCAUUGAGUUCAAGCUGAGAAACUCAACGAGCUCCCCUACCUGGCGCGUUAGCUGUCGGUGUUUUAGACCGGCAGCCCGCCUAGGGGAUACCCUAGGUGGUCUUUUGUGCGGUAAGGACCGUCGAGAAUCAAGGAAUCAAUGGUGACGCAAGGAACACGAUUUAGAUAGGUUCGGGCCGCUAGAUCGCGUAAUACCCUACGUCCUGUAUGUUGGUUUGUAUUGAUCUUGGAUGAACUGAAGUUGUUCUUUUUUGAGGGGGGGUCCCUACCCGCCCUUAUAUGCUCGGGAGGGUAGGGUUACAAGUCUGAGUCCUAGUCAAGUACUAUUACAGAGUUCUACUCGGUAUGGCCCGAGUAGUUUUCCAUACACAUACUUGACUAGUCCGAGUGGGAUACACCUAUCCCUUGUCCUGAUUGUAUCCGAGUACGCCCCUUAGUGGGCCGUCCAAGGUCUACUCGUGGGCCUGGGGUGCAUGCCCGACAACGACAGGGUUGCAUAAACUCAAUUCACCAUGGGAAUGUCCCUACAUCAUAUCCAAGGUCACAGGACCUGGAUCUUACCGACUACAAG